rnacentral:rRNA from 1 species
UACGGAGGGUGCGAGCGUUGUUCGGAAUUAUUGGGCGUAAAGCGCGUGUAGGCGGUUUGUUAAGUCCGAUGUGAAAGCCCUGGGCUCAACCCAGGAAGUGCAUUGGAAACUGGCAGACUUGAGUACGGGAGAGGGCAGUGGAAUUCCCAGUGUAGGAGUGAAAUCCGUAGAUAUUGGGAGGAACACCGGUGGCGAAGGCGGCUGCCUGGACCGAUACUGACGCUGAGACGCGAAAGCGUGGGUAGCAAACAGG